rnacentral:rRNA from 1 species
GACGAACCGUGCGAACGUUAUUCGGAAUCACUGGGCUUAAAGCGCGUGUAGGCGGGGUGGCACGUCGGUCGCUGAAAGCCCCCGGCUCAACCGGGGAAGGGGCGCCGAUACGACCACCCUGGAGGGACGUAGGGGGACCUGGAACUUCCGGUGGAGCGGUGAAAUGCGUUGAGAUCGGAAGGAACGCCCGUGGCGAAAGCGAGGUCCUGGACGUCUACUGACGCUGAGACGCGAAAGCUAGGGUAGCGAACGGG